AUUGAACGCUGGCGGCAGGCCUAAUACAUGCAAGUCGAGCGAGCGGCGGACGGGUGAGUAAUGUCUGGGAAACUGCCCGCUGGAGGGGGAUAAAUACUGGAAAAGGAAGCUAAAAACGCAAAACAUCGGAUGGGCCCAGAUGGGAUUAGCUAGUAGGUGGGGUAACGGCUAACCUGGGCGACGAUCCCUAGCUGGUCUGAGAGGCUGACCAGCCACAUUGGAACUGAGACACGGUCCAAAUCCCUACGGGAGGCAGCGGUGGGGAAUAUUGCCCAAGGGGCGCAAUCCUGACACAGCCAUGCCGCGUGUGUGAAGAAGGCUUUCGGUUUGUAAAGCACUUUCGUCGGGGAGGCGUUACCCACAGAGAAAGCACCGGCUAACUCCGUGCCAGCAGCCGCGGUAAUUC
rnacentral:rRNA from 1 species